rnacentral:rRNA from 1 species
AGAGUUUGAUCAUGGCUCAGAACGAACGUUAGCGGCGCGCUUAACACAUGCAAGUCGUGCGAGAAAGGGGCAACCCCGGUAAAGCGGCGCACGGGUGAGUAACACGUAGGUAAUCUGCCCCCAGGUGGUGGAUAACCUUCCGAAAGGAGGGCUAAUACAGCAUGAGACCACGGUUCCCGCAAGGGAUUGAGGUCAAAGCCGGCCUCUUCAUGAAAGCUGGCGCCAGGGGAUGAGCCUGCGGCCCAUCAGCUAGUUGGUAGGGUAACGGCCUACCAAGGCGAAGACGGGUAGCUGGUCUGAGAGGAUGAUCAGCCACACUGGAACUGAGACACGGUCCAGACUCCUACGGGAGGCAGCAGUGGGGAAUCUUGCGCAAUGGGCGAAAGCCUGACGCAGCGACGCCGCGUGAGUGAUGAAGGCCUUCGGGUUGUAAAGCUCUGUGGAGGGGGACGAAUAAGUCGUGGCCAACAUCCACGAUGAUGACGGUACCUCUUUAGCAAGCACCGGCUAACUCUGUGCCAGCAGCCGCGGUAAGACAGAGGGUGCAAACGUUGUUCGGAAUUACUGGGCGUAAAGCGCGUGUAGGCUGCUCUGCAAGUCGGAUGUGAAAGCCCUGGGCUCAACCUAGGAAGUGCACUCGAAACUGCAGAGCUUGAGUCCUGGAGAGGAAGGCGGAAUUCUCGGUGUAGAGGUGAAAUUCGUAGAUAUCGAGAGGAACACCGGUGGCGAAGGCGGCCUUCUGGACAGUGACUGACGCUGAGACGCGAAAGCGUGGGGAGCAAACAGGAUUAGAUACCCUGGUAGUCCACGCCGUAAACGAUGGGUGCUAGGUGUCGCGGGCUUUGACCCCUGCGGUGCCGUAGCUAACGCAUUAAGCAACCCCGCCUGGGGGAGCACGGCCGCAAGGCUAAACUCAAAGGAAUUGACGG